CUGUAAACACGGUAAUCUCUCAAGCUAUUUAAAAAGCAAGCGAGGAGAGUACAGUCCCUUCAAGAAGCGAAUGUCACUGAUGCCGUGCGGGAGGGAGGUACAGCAGGAAGAGGAUUUGCAUGAGGGGGAUCUGGGUCUGGGAAUCAGCACUCGGCUGGACAUCUGCACCGGCACCGCUGUGUGCACCAGGAUGGGAGAACAGACCUCCACGACCCAGCUGCAGGAUGAACAAGAGAGUUCAGACUGGGAUCAUUUGACGAUGGAGGAUCUCAUCAGCUAUAGCUUCCAAGUGGCCAAAGGCAUGGACUUCCUAGCCUCUCGA